AGUGAACGCUGGCGGUAGGCCUAACACAUGCAAGUCGAACGGCAGCACAGUAAGAGCUUGCUCUUACGGGUGGCGAGUGGCGGACGGGUGAGGAAUACAUCGGAAUCUACUUUUUCGUGGGGGAUAACGUAGGGAAACUUACGCUAAUACCGCAUACGACCUACGGGUGAAAGCAGGGGAUCUUCGGACCUUGCGCGAUUGAAUGAGCCGAUGUCGGAUUGGCUAGUUGGCGGGGUAAAGGCCCACCAAGGCGACGAUCCGUAGCUGGUCUGAGAGGAUGAUCGGCCACACUGGAACUGGGACACGGUCCAGACUCCUACGGGAGGCAGCAGUGGGGAAUAUUGGACAAUGGUCGCAAGCCUGAUCCAGCCAUACCGCGUGGGUGAAGAAGGCGUUCGGGUUGUAAAGCCCUUUUGUUGGGAAAGAAAAGCAGCAGGUUAAUACCCCGCUGUUCUGACGGUACCCAAAGAAUAAGCACCGGCUAACUUCGUG
rnacentral:rRNA from 1 species